rnacentral:lncRNA from 1 species
CGUAUUUGUACUCAUAACUCUUCCAGUGUUUGUAAAACAUUGUCCCAAAGGGAAACUGUGAAGCAGGUCGGUUAUUGGAGAUGAUUUUGACUCUGACAUUUUUUAGGAUUUAAAUUAGGAUUUUGCAAAAGUUUUUUUCUUAUUAUUUUCUAAGAAAAUUUAAUGAUUGCCUGGUUCCCACAUCCUCCAUUCAAUUUCCUUCUAGCACUGUGCGCCAGGCAAGGAUCCACUGUGCUGGACAGAACUGAGUCGUGGUCUUACUGCUCAUCUUUCCUCUGAGAAGCCCUGGUGGAAACAAUCACAUUCCCCAGAAGAAGAUAGCAGCUUGGCUGUUGCUGCUCUUCUGUGUUUGUAUCAGAGGUGUGAAAUUGAAUGCCUGUGAGUUCUGCUCCAUGAGGAUCAAAGUCCUUUUAUCCAGAUGAGUGCACCAGGUUAUAUGACAGACCUUUAAGCUGAGGACCAGCCAGCUUGUAACUGGAGUGUGGCAGAGACUGGUACAUCUCAACUCCAACUAAUUCCAGUAUAAAGAUAGAUUUAAGACAAGUGCCAUCCAGCAAAUGGACAGCAAUGUGAAUUCCUUUGUAAAACAGUGGAUACAGUUCUCAGCUGCACACAGAGGUGAGUGGAGAAUGGAAUCGCUUCAGCUCCUCCAAAUUGGGAUCACUUUUCCACUCCUUAAAGAGAAAAGAUAAUGCAAUUGAAGUGACAUUGUAUUAAUGGUGGAUCACGUCAGCUAAUAAUUAGUCAAUACAUUACAUUGCCCCAUUUAGGUUUUCUUUUCCUAUUUAAGUAGCAGCACAGUUCAUUUCUUGUGUGUGUUAAAUCUUCUCUAGUACACGCUGUGAGCAAUGAAUUAAGUGUGAACAUCAGAACAGCAUCCUGGAACGGAAAGGAGGUUGUCAAAUUAAUUUCUGACAAGUGCCAGGAUGAGGAUCAUGGCAGUUUGCAUGUAAAAGCUGUACUGGAUGGCAAACUUCAUGGCCCAUCAAAUUCAAGGACCAAAAUGGAAAUGAACUUGUAAUUUUUUCAGUACAAUAAGUAUUAUUUUUACCUUACUUUCUACCUCCUUUGUUAUUUAAUAACCUAUUUGAAGAACAUUUCCCUGUACUUUUAUUACUUUAGAAAGUAUUUAGUUUUCUAUUCUAUCAUACGAAAUUCAGGUUUUACAACUAUAAAAUUCCAAAAUGUUUUACAAGUGGCCCUGAUCCUACAAAGACCUACCCAUCUGUUUAGCUGAAUAAUAAUAAUCAUUUAUAUUCCAAUAGUGCCCUUUAUCUUGCUUGGUCUGUACACAGAACCAUCUGCUUCAAAUUGACUGCCUUUCAGACUCAGCUCUCCAAGAGCCCUGACCUUGUAAUCUCAUCUAUGCCUUUGACCUUGCAGAGCUGCUCUGAAUCAAGGAUUAGGGUCUGCCACACACAAGGCAGCUUGUGAAAGCAGGGUCUAACAUUACAGAUUUGUAAUUGAAGUCAAUGAACUUUUUUCCUGAAUAUGACUUGAAUUUCUGAUUUGUUUUUCAGUAAGACAAAGCAAGAAAUGAAAUGUAGGCUCGUUUUCUCCAUGUGCCUUCUCAUCUGAAAGUCUCUUUUUGGCCUGCUAAAGCAUAAAGUAAAUGUACCUCUGGCUGUUAGACUGGGCUGUUUAUUCCACCCACUGAUUUUUCUCUCUUUUCCAAAGAGUAAAUGCAUUUUAUUUUUCAUUAUAUAAUGCUUAGAGAAACAAGUAAAGCUAUCACUAGAGAAGGGAGUACUUCCAGCAAGCAAGCAAGCAAGCAAGAUUGCCUACUGAGGCAUGUGUUUGAUGGUAAAUGAAUUGUAUUUGUGAACUGCCUCCUAUUUACUGUAAGGCUUUCAAUAGUAAUCUUUCUUGAGCUAAAUUACAUUAUCACAAUAAAGUUAAAAGGAACAUGAUUUCUUCAGCCAAACCUACUUAGUCAUCAAGAACCCCAGCUGCUUUGAAGUGCUCCUGCAGUCCUAACUAAUAGAAGAGACUUGCCAACGUGUGGCCUUGCCUUUCACAGAAACAUUAUUGGUGAGGUGUGGAGCAUGUGGAGCACGCACAUGGAAUAUCAAUGCAAGAAGUCUGCAUGGUCUUUCCAAUUUGAGAAUGGCUCUUCUAUGUCUUCAGGCCUCUUCACUCUAACACUGUGAAGCUUUGGAGGAUCCAAAAUUAUUUCCUUACUCUCUGUAUACGUGUCUUACAUUCCUUUUCUUAGCCUUAAAUUCUUGCCAAUUUGUUUGUCUCAUACAUUCAGUGACUGCUGUUCUC